GACGAACGCUGGCGGCGUGCUUAACACAUGCAAGUCGAACGGUAAGGCCCUUCGGGGUACACGAGUGGCGAACGGGUGAGUAACACGUGGGUGAUCCGCCCUGCACUUCGGGAUAAGCCUGGGAAACUGGGUCUAAUACCGGAUAGGACCACUGCCCGCAGGGGUGGUGGGGGAAAGCUUUUGCGGUGUGGGAUGGGCCCGCGGCCUAUCAGCUCGUUGGUGGGGUGAUGGCCUACCAAGGCGACGACGGGUAGCCGGCCUGAGCGGGUGACCGGCCACACUGGGACUGAGAUACGGCCCAGACUCCUACGGGAGGCAGCAGUGGGGAAUAUUGCACAAUGGGCGCAAGCCUGAUGCAGCGACGCCGCGUGAGGGAUGACGGCCUUCGGGUUGUAAAUCUCUUUCAGCACCGACGAAGCGCAAGUGACGGUGGGUGCAGAAGAAGGACCGGCCAACUACGUGCCAGCCGCCGCGGUAACAC
rnacentral:rRNA from 1 species